CUCGGGUUCCCUUCCACGCUGUGGAAGGUUUGUUCUUUUUGUUCUUUGCCUUAAAUGCUGCUGCUGCUGCUCAGUCUUUGGGUCCACACUGCUUUUAUGAGCUGUAACACCACGAAGGUCUGCAGCUUCACUCCUGAAGCCAGUGAGACCACAAACCCACUGGGAGGAACAAACAACUCCAGACGCGCCCGCUUAAGAGCUGUAACAUUCACCAGGAAGGUCUGCAGCUUAGAGCGAGACCACAAACCCCCCAGAAGGAAGAAACUCCGAAUACAUCCGAACAUCAGAAGGAACAAACUCCGGACACGCCACCUUUAAGAACUGUAACUCAUUGCGAGGGUCCGCGGCUUCAUUCUUGAAGUCAGUGAGACCGAGAACCAACCAAUUCCGGACACAGAACGAAUCAACCAAGGAUGGAAAGCCCCUCUUUGAGCCGAAGGACUAGAGGAACAAAAGACUCAGCCCCAAGGUUAUCCGCUGCUGCUGCCCCCGAGACAGUAAGACCGACUCCUCCUCUUUCUCCUCCUCUUCAUCCUACUCUAUGUGAAGACAAGAAUGAAGAUCUUUGUGACGAUCCACUUCCAGUGAAUGAUUACUAAGAGUAUCCACGUGACCUGGACCUGGGUGAGUGGGUCCUAGAAAAAUUUUUGCUUUCUUGCUACUCUUCCUUCUUCUCACUGGAAUGUAAAUGUAAAGGGUGGAGCUGCAGCAGCCAUCUUGCUAUCACAAAAGAAAGACUGAGAGAACAGCAGAAGAGUUGACCUUAAUGUUGUUGAACCACUGAAUCAACGCUGUAAACAAUCUAUCUCCAAAAUUCUUGGUAUGUGAGAAACUAAACUACUGUUUAUUUAAGUUGGGUUGUCUGUUAAGUGCAGCUGAAUGUCUUCCUAAUUGAUACAGAAAUGCAUUUAAAAAAUAGCAUGCACACUUUUUAGUAUGAGCUAAGAAAAUGAGUAAGAACACAGCACAUUGAACCCAAUUUUGCAUUUGCAAUCCCCAAAGAACCCUGGUACACUUUUGUAGAAUAUUAAUGUGAAACCUAAGUUUGGGGAAUGUCUCUGAUGAGAAGUUGGGAAACAGAAAUAGAUGAGACCUAUCUAUGGUGCAAAGAUAAAUUUUGGUUAGAAAGAAAAGAGCAAGAACAUGCACAAAAAUGUGUGGCAGAACCAGGCUGUGGGCAGGAACCAGAGGAGCUGUCUACUAUGGUUGUAUUUAAUAUGACUGCUGAGGACAAAGCUCUGAUUUUUUUAUCUGGCCCAAAUUCCUAUCUAAGGUGUCUGGAGAGUCAUGCCUUACAAACCAUACAUUCUCAUCAGAUGGGUUUUAUUUAACCCCAUAUAUUGUGACUUUCCAAUCUGACUCUGGCAUAAUAUUAUGUGACAAAAAAGAAAGUCAAAAUAUUUUACUCCAAAACAUCUUUCUUUGUCUUAUUUUGAAAUGGCCCUGCAAAUGUGUCCUUUGUGGGGGGAAAUUUAUACCUGUAAAGAAUCUCUAUUAACAUAGCUAUAUCUUUUUCUUCCUGGCCCUCCCAAUCCUAAAGAGAUUGAGUAAGAGUCUAGCACCUUUUAAAGGUCUGAAUAGGAAACAUUUGUCAUCUAUUCCCCCGAAGAACAGCCACUGUAAGACUUCAAAAGAACUGUGGUCUGCACAAUCUUUUAUCUUAACCUGAACAUUUCUUUUCUAUGGAACCCAGGUCUUUAGACAAACUCAACCAAUUGUCAACCAGAAAAUGUUUAAAUGUUUCUAUAGCCUGGAAGCCGCCUCCUCCCCACCACCAUCCCAUUCCACUUUGAGUUGUCUGGUUUUUCUAGACCAAACCAAUGUAUUUCUUAAAUGUAUUUGUUUGAUGUCUCAUGCCUCCCUAAAAUGUACAAAACCAAGCUGUGUCCAACCACCUUGGGCACAUGUCCUCAGGACCUUCUGAGGGCUGUGUCACCAGAUGUGGUCAUUCAUAUUUGGCUCAGAAUAAAUCUCUUCAAAUAUUU
rnacentral:lncRNA from 10 species